ensembl:lncRNA
AAUAAAGCCACAGCCUGACCUGCUGCUGCGUAUGCCUUGCCAUUUAAGCAAGAUGCAUUGCUUGAAGGGGCUUAGAUGGCAAGGAGGGAGAUUAAGAGAGGAUGUCUCCCCCGCAGAAUGAAAGCUCUUUCUGCAGGGGGCAUCCUCUCAUAGCCGUUUUCGCGCAUCGCCUCGAUGUCGGCAAAACUCUUAUGCUGAAACCGAUGGAUGCGAGAAGAAAACGGCCUCUUUCAUUUCCUUUCGAUCUCUGAAGGAGAAUUGAGAAGGCUCAGCCUCAGCUUCUUCACCAUCCUCAAAUAUCUCCUGCUUUUCCUGGGUAAAAACCCAGCAGAGCACUAACCUCAGUAUCAGAAAGUGUUAAAGAUAUAACAUCAUCCUCCCGAGGCUCUCUCUCGUCCGCCGCCAUUAUGAGCGUGAAAGGGAAAGUCCCUCUUUAAACCAUUCAGACAGAUCCACCUGAAAUUCUCAUGAGCUCAUUCUCCUCCGUGCCUCAGUAGCGGCGGGUCCUGAACCGCGGGAAGCAGAUGGCUGCCUCUUUUUUUUUUUUUUUCGGAAAGAGAGACGAAUGAGAGCGGAGAUUUU